rnacentral:rRNA from 1 species
GGCUCAGGAUGAACGCUAGCUACAGGCUUAACACAUGCAAGUCGAGGGCAGCAUGACGAUAGCUUGCUAUUGUCGAUGGCGACCGGCGCACGGGUNAGUAACGCGUAUCCAACCUUCCCGUUGCUAGGGGAUAACCUUGCGAAAGUAAGACUAAUACCCCAUGGUCUCCAUAGAAGACAUCUGAAAUGGAGUAAAGGUUUCGGCCGGUUGCGGAUGGGGAUGCGUCCGAUUAGCUUGUUGGCGGGUAACGGCCCACCAAAGCAACGAUCAGUAGGGGUUCUGAGAGGAAGGUCCCCCACAUUGGAACUGAGACACGGUCCAAACUCCUACGGGAGGCAGCAGUGAGGAAUAUUGGUCAAUGGACGAGAGUCUGAACCAGCCAAGUCGCGUGAAGGAAGACGGAUCUAUGGUUUGUAAACUUCUUUAGUGCGGGAACAAAGCGGUGUCGUGACGCCGGAUGAGUGUACCGCAAGAAUAAGCAUCGGCUAACUCCGUG